AAAUGAGUGUUGUUGUUUUAAGCCACUACGUUUUAUAGUAAUUUGUUUAGCUGCAACAGAUAACCGGAACAGCAUGGGAUAUAACAUGACCAGUGCUCCAACCUCACACUUCUACAAUGUGCUGACUCUAGCAGUGCACUGAAGGACUCCAAGGCAGGCCUUCCCUGAGGAGACCCCAGUUUUUACUCACAUGUCACAGGCAGUGGCCUUUGUCCCUCAUCUCCUCUCCCACCCCCAAUUUAGGAUAAAGUAUCUGCCGUGAUAAAGACGUUGAGACCCACUUUCUGUAAGGUCUGCUUCCUCAUUGUUUGAAUUUCUUGAGGUUUCACGGAGCCACGCGCUGGAACCUUCCAUAGUCUCUCCUGAGGGUCCUUCUUUGCCCUGGGCUGGAGGUCUGUAGCCAUGGGAUGCUGGCUACAAGGGACAAGAUAGAAGCAAACCACCUGAUCCAGUAAACUGCUGUCCACUUCGGCUCCUCAACGGCCUCUAAGCUUAAGAGGGAGCACGCAAGCCAAGCAAAGCCGGCAGGGAAGACGGAGAAGAAACCACUCGUGGGCCCUGGCUCUGUGUCCAGUUGUUCCAUCACAGAUCAAAUCUGCCUGCACUAAGAGGAUGGGUUCCUCUGCAAGGCCUUUCGGAAUUCUGAGUCUUGUCUGUCAAACUCUACCCUCUCUCCUCCACAUCCCCCACCUCUUCUUUCAGGAAGGAAAUAGUUAAAAAAGACUCCUGCCCUUCAGGGCCUGGAAGGGGGCGGCAGCUUUGUGCUUUUUAGUGGCCGCGUCCCAGGAUAGCUGGAAGGUUAGGACGCUCUUGCGGUCCCAGAGUGGAGUGGAAGGUCUGGAGCUUUGGGAGGAGACGGGGAGGACAGACUGGAGGCGUGUUCCUCCGGAGUUUUCUUUUUCGUGCGAGCCCUAGCGCGCGUACAGUCAUCCCGCUGGUCUGACGAUUGUGGAAAGGCGGUGGAGAGGCUUCAUCCAUCCCACCCGGUCGUCGCCGGGGAUUGGGGUCCCAGCGAGACCUCCCCGGGAGAAGCAGUGCCCAGGAAGUUUUCUGAAGCCGGGGUAGCUGUGCAGCCGGAGCCGCCGCCGCGCCGGAGCCCGGGACACCGGCCACCCUCCGCGCCACCCACCCUCGCCGGCUCCGGCUUCCUCUGGCCCAGGCGCCGCGCGGACCCGGCAGCUGUCUGCGCACGCCGAGCUCCACGGUGAAAAAAAAGUGAAGGUGUAAAAGCAGCACAAGUGCAAUAAGAGAUAUUUCCUCAAAUUUGCCUCAAGAUGGAAACCCUUUGCCUCAGGGCAUCCUUUUGGCUGGCACUGGUUGGAUGUGUAAUCAGUGAUAAUCCUGAGAGAUACAGCACAAAUCUAAGCAAUCAUGUGGAUGAUUUCACCACUUUUCGUGGCACAGAGCUCAGCUUCCUGGUUACCACUCAUCAACCCACUAAUUUGGUCCUACCCAGCAAUGGCUCAAUGCACAACUAUUGCCCACAGCAGACUAAAAUUACUUCAGCUUUCAAAUACAUUAACACGGUGAUAUCUUGUACUAUUUUCAUCGUGGGAAUGGUGGGGAAUGCAACUCUGCUCAGGAUCAUUUACCAGAACAAAUGUAUGAGGAAUGGCCCCAACGCGCUGAUAGCCAGUCUUGCCCUUGGAGACCUUAUCUAUGUGGUCAUUGAUCUCCCUAUCAAUGUAUUUAAGCUGCUGGCUGGGCGCUGGCCUUUUGAUCACAAUGACUUUGGCGUAUUUCUUUGCAAGCUGUUCCCCUUUUUGCAGAAGUCCUCGGUGGGGAUCACCGUCCUCAACCUCUGCGCUCUUAGUGUUGACAGGUACAGAGCAGUUGCCUCCUGGAGUCGUGUUCAGGGAAUUGGGAUUCCUUUGGUAACUGCCAUUGAAAUUGUCUCCAUCUGGAUCCUGUCCUUCAUCCUGGCCAUUCCUGAAGCGAUUGGCUUCGUCAUGGUACCCUUUGAAUAUAGGGGUGAACAGCAUAAAACCUGUAUGCUCAAUGCCACAUCAAAAUUCAUGGAGCCAGGAUAAUUUCUGAAGCUUCCAACUGAAUUGAGUUUUGAGGACCACUUCCAAACCCAUCACUGCAACCAGAGAGCAUGAUUUUACAGAUGUAUCUGCAAGUUUAAAGACCUUAAAGCUACCAGAGGCACAGCAUGGUUAAUUGACAUGACUCUGCUCCUCCUUUUCUCUUUUUUUUUUUUUUUCACUUUGAAGUUCUACCAAGAUGUAAAGGACUGGUGGCUCUUCGGGUUCUAUUUCUGUAUGCCCUUGGUGUGCACUGCGAUCUUCUACACCCUCAUGACUUGUGAGAUGUUGAACAGAAGGAAUGGCAGCUUGAGAAUUGCCCUCAGUGAACAUCUUAAGCAGCGUCGAGAAGUGGCAAAAACAGUUUUCUGCUUGGUUGUAAUUUUUGCUCUUUGCUGGUUCCCUCUUCAUUUAAGCCGUAUAUUGAAGAAAACUGUGUAUAAUGAGAUGGACAAGAACCGAUGUGAAUUACUUAGUUUCUUACUGCUCAUGGAUUACAUCGGUAUUAACUUGGCAACCAUGAAUUCAUGUAUAAACCCCAUAGCUCUGUAUUUUGUGAGCAAGAAAUUUAAAAAUUGUUUCCAGUCAUGCCUCUGCUGCUGCUGUUACCAGUCCAAAAGUCUGAUGACCUCGGUCCCCAUGAACGGAACAAGCAUCCAGUGGAAGAACCACGAUCAAAACAACCACAACACAGACCGGAGCAGCCAUAAGGACAGCAUGAACUGACCACCCUUAGAAGCACUCCUCGGUACUCCCAUAAUCCUCUCAGAGAAAAAAUCACAAGGCAACUGUGACUCCGGGAAUCUCUUCUCUGAUCCUUCUUCCUUAACUCACUCCCACACCCAAGAAGAAAUGCUUUCCAAAACCGCAAGGGUAGACUGGUUUAUCCACCCACAACAUCUACGAAUCGUACUUCUUUAAUUGAUCUAAUUUACAUAUUCUGUGUGUUGUAUUCAGCACUAAAAAAUGGUGGGAGCUGGGGGAGAAUGAAGACUGUUAAAUGAAACCAGAAGGAUAUUUACUACUUUUGCAUGAAAAUAGAGCUUUCAAGUACAUGGCUAGCUUUUAUGGCAGUUCUGGUGAAUGUUCAAUGGGAACUGGUCACCAUGAAACUUUAGAGAUUAUGACAAGAUUUUCUACUUUUUUUAAGUGAUUUUUUUGUCCUUCAGCCAAACACAAUAUGGGCUCAAGUCACUUUUAUUUGAAAUGUCAUUUGGUGCCAGUAUUUUUUAACUGCAUAAUAGCCUAACAUGAUUAUUUGAACUUAUUUACACAUAGUUUGAAAAAAAAAAAGACAAAAAUAGUAUUCAGGUGAGCAAUUAGAUUAGUAUUUUCCACGUCACUGUUUAUUUUUUUAAAACACAAAUUCUAAAGCUACAACAAAUACUACAGGCCCUUAAAGCACAGUCUGAUGACACAUUUGGCAGUUUAAUAGAUGUUACUCAAAGAAUUUUUUUAAAACUGUAUUUUAUUUUUUAAAUGGUGUUUUAUUACAAGGGACCUUGAACAUGUUUUGUAUGUUAAAUUCAAAAGUAAUGCUUCAAUCAGAUAGUUCUUUUUCACAAGUUCAAUCUGUUUUUCAUGUAAAUUUUGUAUGAAAAAUCAAUGUCAAGUACCAAAAUGUUAAUGUAUGUGUCAUUUAACUCUGCCUGAGACUUUCAGUGCACUGUAUAUAGAAGUCUAAAGCACACCUAAGAGAAAAAGAUCGAAUUUUUCAGAUGAUUUGGAAAUUUUCAUUCAGGUAUUUGUAAUAGUGACAUAUAUAUGUAUAUACAUAUCACCUCCUAUUCUCUUAAUUUUUCUUAAAAUGUUAACUGGCAGUAAGUCUUUUUUGAUCAUUCCCUUUUCCAUAUAGGAAACAUAAUUUUGAAGUGGCCAGAUGAGUUUAUCAUGUCAGUGAAAAAUAAUUACCCACAAAUGCCACCAGAACUUAUGAUUCUUCACUUCUUGGGGUUUUCAGUAUGAACCUAACUCCCCACCCCAACAUCUCCCUCCCACAUUGUCACCAUUUCAAAGGGCCCACAGUGACUUUUGCUGGGCAUUUUCCCAGAUGUUUACAGACUGUGAGUACAGCAGAAAAUCUUUUACUAGUGUGUGUGUAUAUAUAUAAACAAUUGUAAAUUUCUUUUAGCCCAUUUUUCUAGACUCUCUCUGUGGAAUGUAUUUGUGUGUGUGAUAUAUGCAUGUGUGUGAUGGUAUGUAUGGAUUUAAUCUAAUCUAAUAAUUGUGCCCCGCAGUUGUGCCAAAGUGCAUAGUCUGAGUAAAAUCUAGGUGAUUGUUCAUCAUGACAACCUGCCUCAGUCCAUUUUAACCUGUAACCUUCUGCAUUCAUAAAUCUUGUAAUCAUGUUACCAUUACAAAUGGGAUAUAAGAGGCAGCGUGAAAGCAGAUGAGCUGUGGACUAGCAAUAUAGGGUUUUGUUUGGUUGGUUGGUUUGAUAAAGCAGUAUUUGGGGUCGUAUUGUUUCCUGUGCUGGAGCAAAAGUCAUUACACUUUGAAGUAUUAUAUUGUUCUUAUCCUCAAUUCAAUGUGGUGAUGAAAUUGCCAGGUUGUCUGAUGUUUCUUUCAGACUUCACCAGACAGAUUGCUGAUAAUAAAUUAGGUAAGAUAAUUUGUUGGGCCAUAUUUUAGGACAGGUAAAAUAACAUCAGGUUCCAGUUGCUUGAAUUGCAAGGCUAAGAAGUACUGCCCUUUUGUGUGUUAGCAGUCAAAUCUAUUAUUCCACUGGCACAUCAUAUGCAGUGAUAUAUGCCUAUAAUAUAAGCCAUAGGUUCACACCAUUUUGUUUAGACAAUUGUCUUUUUUUCAAGAUGCUUUGUUUCUUUCAUAUGAAAAAAAUGCAUUUUAUAAAUUCAGAAAGUCAUAGAUUUCUGAAGGCUUCAAUGUGCAUUUUAUUUAUGGACUGGUAAGUAACUGUGGUUUACUAGUAGGAAUAUUUCCAAUUUCUACCUUUACUACAUCUUUUCAACAAGUAACUUUGUAGAAAUGAGCCAGAAGCCAAGGCCCUGAGUUGGCAGUGGCCCAUAAGUAUAAAAUAAAAGUUUACAGAAACCUU